AAAGUCGUAACAAGGUUUCCGUAGGUGAACCUGCGGAAGGAUCAUUACUGAGAGGGGGUCUUCCAGGCCCAACCUUCAACCCUAUGUUUUACUACCUUGUUUCUUUGGUGGGGCAGCCCACCAGAAGCAUUCUUAAACUCAUUAUAAAAUGUGUCUCUGAAUUAAAUAAUAAAUAAAUUAAAACUUUCAACAACGGAUCUCUUGGUUCUG
rnacentral:misc_RNA from 1 species